UACGAAGGGGGCUAGCGUUGUUCGGAAUUACUGGGCGUAAAGGGCGCGUAGGCGGCGUGUCAAGUCAGGCGUGAAAGCCCCGGGCUCAAUCUGGGAACCGCGCUUGAGACUGGCAUGCUCGAGUUCGGGAGAGGAUGGUGGAAUUCCCAGUGUAGAGGUGAAAUUCGUAGAUAUUGGGAAGAACACCGAUGGCGAAGGCAGCCAUCUGGACCGACACUGACGCUGAGGCGCGAAAGCGUGGGGAGCAAACAGG
rnacentral:rRNA from 1 species